UACGGAGGGUGCAAGCGUUAUCCGGAUUCACUGGGUUUAAAGGGUGCGUAGGUGGGCUAGUAAGUCAGUGGUGAAAUCUCCGGGCUUAACCCGGAAACUGCCAUUGAUACUAUUAGUCUUGAAUGUCGUGGAGGUAAGCGGAAUAUGUCAUGUAGCGGUGAAAUGCUUAGAUAUGACAUAGAACACCAAUUGCGAAGGCAGCUGGCUACACAAAUAUUGACACUGAGGCACGAAAGCGUGGGGAUCAAACAGG
rnacentral:rRNA from 1 species